AUUGAACGCUGGCGGCAGGCCUAACACAUGCAAGUCGAGCGGACGAAUGGAGCUUUCUCCUGGAUUACGCGGCGGACGGGCGAGUAAUGCCCAGGAAUCUGCCUUGCCGUGGGGGCUAACGUCCCUAAGGGGGCCCUAAUCUCGCACCGGUCCAUAGGGUGAACCUGGGGGUUCUUUGGUCCUCACCCUUUCUGCUGUCCCUUGGUCGGAUUAGCUAGUUGGUUGGGUAAAGGCCUACCAAGGCGACGAUCCGUAACUGGUCUGAGAGGGUGAUCAGUCACACUGGAACUGAGACACGGUCCAGACUCCUACGGGAGGCAGCAGUAGGGAAUAUUGGACAAUGGGCGAAAGCCUGAUCCAGCCAUGCCGCGUGAGUGAAGAAGGUCUUCGGAUUGUAAAGCACUUUAAGUUGGGAGGAAGAGCAGUAAAUUAAUACCUGGCUGUCUUGACGGUACCAACAGAGAAAGCAACGGCUAACUUCGUG
rnacentral:rRNA from 1 species